CCCCCUUCCAGUAUCCAGUAGUGGGUAUUCAGUUACUUACUAUUGUGUGUUGGUCCUUUACUGUGAGAAAAUUAGAGUGUUCAAAGCAGGCGUUUGCUUGAAUAGAUUAGCAUGGAAUAAUAAUUGAAGGCUUUCGUGUUCGAUUUGAUUGGUUUGUUCAUGGAAGCAAGGUUAAAAGGAACAGUUGGGGGUAUUCAUAUUCACUAGUUAGAGGUGAAAUUCUCGGAUUUAUGGAAGAUGAACAAGUGCGAAAGCAUUUACCAAGGAUGUUUUCAUUAAUCAAGAACGAAAGCUAGGGGAUCGAAGAGGAUUAGAUACCCUCGUAGUCUUAGCU
rnacentral:rRNA from 1 species